GACGAACGCUGGCGGCGUGCUUAACACAUGCAAGUCGAACGCUGAAGCUCAGCUUUUGUUGGGUGGAUGAGUGGCGAACGGGUGAGUAACACGUGAGUAACCUGCCUCCUUCUUUGGGAUAACGCCCGGAAACGGGUGCUAAUACUGGAUAUUCACUGGUCUUCGCAUGGGGGUUGGUGGAAAGGGUUUUUCUGGUGGGGGAUGGGCUCGCGGCCUAUCAGCUUGUUGGUGGGGUGAUGGCCUACCAAGGCUUUGACGGGUAGCCGGCCUGAGAGGGUGACCGGUCACAUUGGGACUGAGAUACGGCCCAGACUCCUACGGGAGGCAGCAGUGGGGAAUAUUGCACAAUGGGCGCAAGCCUGACGCAGCGACGCCGCGUGAGGGAUGGAGGCCUUCGGGUUGUGAACCUCUUUCGCUCAUGGUCAAGCCGCAACAAUGGUUGUGGUGAGGGUAGUGGGUAAAGAAGCGCCGGCUAACUACGUG
rnacentral:rRNA from 1 species